GUAGCCGGAAACACGUGACCUCCACAGUAACCGGAAACACGUGACCUCCACAGUAACCGGAAACACGUGACCUCCACAGUAGGCAGAAAUACGUUCCUGCGUGGAUCAUCGACUGCGGAAAUCUUGCAAGUGGAUCGUAAAGAUGCUCAUAUCAAUUUGGAGUUCUGCCUCCAAGCCAGAAUUGCAGUAAUGCACCACGUGUUGGCUGUUUCACUGCCCUCUGUGCCCCACUUUCAGCCCUAUUGUCAGGAGCAUAUAAAUGGACACAUUAAAAAUGCUUUGCCUUUCAAAGACAAAAUGAUAUGCCGGUGCACUUUCACUGCCCUGUCUGUACAUGACAGUCAUACAGCGUGGGGAUAUGGCAAGGCAAUUAUUGUCAUGUCAGCAUUCAGGACUGCUCUUCGCUGCACUCU